UGGGGAAUAUUGGACAAUGGGCGGAAGCCUGAUCCAGCAACGCCGCGUGAGGGAUGACGGCCUUCGGGUUGUAAACCUCUUUCAGCAGGGACGAAGCGCAAGUGACGGUACCUGCAGAAGAAGCACCGGCCAACUACGUGCCAGCAGCCGCGGUAAUACGUAGGGUGCGAGCGUUGUCCGGAAUUAUUGGGCGUAAAGGGCUCGUAGGCGGUUUGUCGCGUCGGGAGUGAAAACCAGGUGCUUAACACCUGGCUUGCUUUCGAUACGGGCAGACUAGAGGUAUUCAGGGGAGAACGGAAUUCCUGGUGUAGCGGUGAAAUGCGCAGAUAUCAGGAGGAACACCGGUGGCGAAGGCGGUUCUCUGGGAAUGACCUGACGCUGAGGAGCGAAAGUGUGGGGAGCGAACAGGAUUAGAUACCCUGGUAGUCCACACCGUAAACGUUGGGCGCUAGGUGUGGGGUCCAGUUCCACGGAUUCCGUGCCGCAGCUAACGCAUUAA
rnacentral:rRNA from 1 species